UGCCAGGCUGGGUGUGCUCUGCUUCAUUUGCAUGAGAAUAGAGAGACUUUCCCGUGCCCUCCCUUAAGGAUGGACAGGAAAGAAGAGGCCAGGCUGCAGCUCUGUCCUUCUCCCUCUGGGAUUCUGGGGCUGGGAAAAUGACCACUGUCACAUUCCUCCAAUCCUCUGAAAAUCCUAGGACCCGCGGUAUUGAGCAAAGCUUUGAAGGAGCCGGCUGGUGGAUUUCCACUCCAGAUUUUCCAGCUGUCCCUGUCCCCCCACCGUUCAGAGAGCAGGAUGCUGAGAUGGUUCCGUGAUGCAGAAGGUGUCAUUGCACAUUUUUCUGAACACUAAGGCAGUUGGCAAAAGAAGGCUCAAAGGGCUUGGUUCAGAAGAAUUGAAUUUAGGCUUUCUUUACUGCUUUUACCAGCUGUGUGCCUCAGGCUGAUCCCAAAGCUGUAAGAUGGAGAAUGAAUAUAAGAAAAUUCUGCUAGGAGAGGCCCCAGAAAACAUCACUGAUGAAGAACUGAAGUUCAAGUUCUGUGUUCCAGAAAAGUACAAGAUUUCCAAAGGACAACUAGAGGCUGCAGACAGGACAGAGGUAUCUCAGCUGAUGAUUGUCAAUGCUGCUGUGACACCUGUGGUGAGGGAGACCAUUACAAUUCUCAAAAAGAUGAACUGUAAUUCCCUAGUAAAAUGUCUUGACGACGAGAAAAAGAAAGAAAAUAAAAUGAAAGAGUCCUGUAUUACCUGGCCCAAAUGGCAAAGUAUAGAUGCCUGUAAAACAGAAGACAAAAAAAUGUGAAGAAAGGAGUAAGAAUGGAGGUGCAUUCUCCCACGUGCCAAAAAUGAGCAAAAAUCUAUAGCUGAAAUCUGGAAAUCAUAGAGGCAUUAAGGUUACUAAAGCCAAAAAAGGUGAACCAAAAACCACCAAAUGAAGUCAGCUCAUCUGAGCAACUCUUAACGGACGAAUCCCUGAUAUCACCUCUUCAACCAGAUUCUUUGUUGCAUGAUAGUAACAGUUCACAGACUUCUCUCCCCACUCACCACCAGCAAAUUAGUCAGGAUUGGAUAACUGAUGGAGAAAUAACUCCAAAACAUCAACCUGUCACCACAAUACAAGUAAAUUUCUCAUUUAUUAAACUCCUGGUUUGGUUUUGGAUACAUGUGGAAUUCUUUUCUACAUAGAUAUCGGGGGAUGUUGCAGUUGUUUGGCAAAUGCCUGUUGAAUGAAUAAAAUUAUUAAUGGGAAAUUUUCACUAUAUGUAGUUGUAUAAGUCAAUAUGAACUCAGUGUGUAAAUAACCAAAUUUUCAGGAGGACAAAUGUGAGAAGCUUGUAAACAUGAAAACAUUUUCAAUUUCAAUAACUUGAGAAAUACAAUUAAACAAUUAAUAUAUUAAACUCUGCUUAGGGUGUAGAAAGUCAGAUAAUCUGCAAAACUCACAGCUUUUUCUGAGCCCAUCAGACAGCUGAGGCUGUGGUACAAGCAUCUAGGGUAAUCAAAUGUCUAGGGGAAAAUAUAUCCAAGGAAAGAGCAGAUGGGAGCAUUUUCUGACCUGGGGUAGAUAGUUGACAUUAUAUAUUCCACAAAAUUGAAGAAUUUAGCUAAAAAUUUUAAUUUGCCUAAGGUUGAGCUGGGACUAGCAUGAGAAUGUAGAAUUACUGGGAACCUCAGUGACAUGGAGAACUUAUACCCACCCACUUGUAGGCACUUCCUU